AAUGAAGGUUUCCAAGACUCUGGCUGGUGUCCUAGCAAAAUUCUCUUUCACUUGUUGAGGGGAUGGGUUCCCUGCAGCAAGGAAGGUAAGCAGGCUCACCUGCUCAUGCCAGGCCAACGCCCCAAACCCUCAUGAUUCUUGACCCACUCGGAACAGACCCACAGUGACCUCCUAAGGAGAGGUGUGUGGUGGGGUUCAGGAGCUAGCCAUCCUAUCCUUUCUUAGGCUGAACUGACCAUAUAACCUAAAAAAAAAUCCUUUGAUCCCUGAAUGCCUGCUCAUUUUCUCCCCCUGUAAAAUGAAGGUAAACUGAAAGGAUCUGUGAAAGUCAUACAGUUUAUGACACUACAGUCCAUGGGUUUCUUAAGGCAUUAAUCACUCAGUUCAUUCUGGGGCAAGCUUGGUGCACGCAUCUGCCAUCCUCUCUUCACUCGAAGGAAUUGAGUGUGAGAUGCCUGAUCCCUGUCUCCCCAUUGAUCCACCCACCUGGGGUUAAUUAGUGCUUCUGCCCUUGAAAAUGAUUCUGCCCCUUGAGAUUACCCUUGGGGCCUGAAGAUCACUGCCUAGAAGAAUAUGGUAUUAAAAUCGGGUCGAAAGGAAAGUAAAGCCAACACAGAAUAAGGUUGAAGUAAGAGAUGGUGAAAAAGACAUAGAUUUCUGACCAUCUUGUUUCAACACCUGGUCUCAGCAACUAAGAGGGGAUGACAGAGGAUGAGAUGGCUGGAUGGCAUCACUGGCUGGAUGG